GCUGGGUGGAUUAGUGGCGAACGGGUGAGUAACACGUGAGUAACCUGCCCCCGACUCUGGGAUAAGCCCGGGAAACUGGGUCUAAUACCGGAUAUGACCUCGCACCGCAUGGUGCGGGGUGGAAAGAUUUAUCGGUGGGGGAUGGACUCGCGGCCUAUCAGCUUGUUGGUGAGGUAAUGGCUCACCAAGGCGACGACGGGUAGCCGGCCUGAGAGGGUGACCGGCCACACUGGGACUGAGACACGGCCCAGACUCCUACGGGAGGCAGCAGUGGGGAAUAUUGCACAAUGGGCGCAAGCCUGAUGCAGCGACGCCGCGUGAGGGAUGACGGCCUUCGGGUUGUAAACCUCUUUCAGUAGGGAAGAAGCGAAAGUGACGGUACCUGCAGAAGAAGCGCCGGCUAACUACGUGCCAGCAGCCGCGGUAAUACGUAGGGCGCAAGCGUUAUCCGGAUUUAUUGGGCGUAAAGAGCUCGUAGGCGGUUUGUCGCGUCUGCCGUGAAAGUCCGAGGCUCAACCUCGGAUCUGCGGUGGGUACGGGCAGACUAGAGUGAUGUAGGGGAGACUGGAAUUCCUGGUGUAGCGGUGAAAUGCGCAGAUAUCAGGAGGAACACCGAUGGCGAAGGCAGGUCUCUGGGCAUUUACUGACGCUGAGGAGCGAAAGCAUGGGGAGCGAACAGGAUUAGAUACCCUGGUAGUCCAUGCCGUAAACGUUGGGCACUAGGUGUGGGGGACAUUCCACGUUUUCCGCGCCGUAGCUAACGCAUUAAGUGCCCCGCCUGGGGAGUACGGCCGCAAGGCUAAAACUCAAAGGAAUUGACGGGGGGCCCGCACAAGCGGCGGGAGCAUGCGGGAUUAAUUUCGAUGCANACGCGAAAGAACCUUUACCAAGGCUUUGACAUGUGCCCAAACCGCUCCCNAAAAUGGGGUUUUCCCUUUCGGGGGCUGGGUUCACAAGGUGGGUGCAUGGUUUGUCCUUCCACCUCCGUGUCCGUGAAAAUGUUUGGGUUAAGUUCCCCGCAACGAAGCGCCAACCCUUCGUUUCCAUGUUUGCCCA
rnacentral:rRNA from 1 species